rnacentral:rRNA from 1 species
GAGGGAAACCGAGUCUUAACCGGGCGUUAAGUUGCAGGGUAUAGACCCGAAACCCGGUGAUCUAGCCAUGGGCAGGUUGAAGGUUGGGUAACACUAACUGGAGGACCGAACCGACUAAUGUUGAAAAAUUAGCGGAUGACCUGUGGCUGGGGGUGAAAGGCCAAUCAAACCGGGAGAUAGCUGGUUCUCCCCGAAAGCUAUUUAGGUAGCGCCUCGUGAACUCAUCUCCGGGGGUAGAGCACUGUUUCGGCUAGGGGGCCAUCCCGGCUUACCAACCCGAUGCAAACUGCGAAUACCGGAGAAUGUUAUCACGGGAGACACACGGCGGGUGCUAACGUCCGUCGUGAAGAGGGAAACAACCCAGACCGCCAGCUAAGGUCCCAAAGUCAUGGUUAAGUGGGAAACGAUGUGGGAAGGCCCAGACAGCCAGGAUGUUGGCUUAGAAGCAGCCAUCAUUUAAAGAAAGCGUAAUAGCUCACUGGUCGAGUCGGCCUGCGCGGAAGAUGUAACGGGGCUAAACCAUGCACCGAAGCUGCGGCAGCGACACUGUGUGUUGUUGGGUAGGGGAGCGUUCUGUAAGCCUGCGAAGGUGGCCUGUGAGGGUUGCUGGAGGUAUCAGAAGUGCGAAUGCUGACAUAAGUAACGAUAAAGCGGGUGAAAAGCCCGCUCGCCGGAAGACCAAGGGUUCCUGUCCAACGUUAAUCGGGGCAGGGUGAGUCGACCCCUAAGGCGAGGCCGAAAGGCGUAGUCGAUGGGAAACGGGUUAAUAUUCCCGUACUUGGUGUUACUGCGAAGGGGGGACGGAGAAGGCUAUGUUGGCCGGGCGACGGUU